CAGAACAAAGAUGAUCAGUUGCGUUAUGUCAAACGUGCAAAAUAGCGUUUCAGUAAAUGAGUGAAAAAAGUUCAGUGUGUUUGAGCAGUUUGUGUGAUCUCCUUUAAUGGACAAUAAAUAACAUUACCUUG